rnacentral:misc_RNA from 1 species
GGUUUCACUGGUCGCACAACUGAACAAGUCCAGAAGGACAUUGAUAGAGAUCGAUAUAUGUCUCCAAUAGAAGCUGUUGAGUAUGGAAUAAUUGAUGGAGUUAUUGACAGAGAGAGCAUCAUUCCUUUGGCUCCUGUGCCAGAAAGGGUAAAACCUACACUAAAUUAUGAGGAAAUGCGUAAAGAUCCAAUGAAAUUCCUGACGCCGGAUGUCCCUGACGAUGAGAUAUACUAGCUUGUGCCAUUUGUUACAAGACAGACUCUCAGCGUAUUUGUUUAUUUUUCACAAAAAGAACUGUAAGGUUAGCGAGAACCCCCAACCAAAAGGCAUUUGUGUGCUAUGUUUGCAGAUAAAAUUGCUUUUAAGAAUGCAACUGGGCAGGCCAGCCGAAUUGCAAGGUUGCAGAGCUGAAAGGGGCCCCCUUUUUUUUUUUUUUCAUAAUUUAAGCUGUAACCUUCAAUGUAUACUUUAUAAGUUAUUGCAAACUUGACCAUUAAAUUGAUCUUGAAAGAAAACAUGGGAUUAUUAGUAUAAAAUACCACUUGGAUUUUUUUUAAGCUAAAAAAAU